CACAUGGCCAUGGCCACUGGGGUCCUCUGGGUGAAGUUGGAUAAGGACAGCAGCACCCAGUCUCGCACCAUAGAAGACUGGCCUGUGGCGUGAAGCGUCUGGAAAACCUGGAGUUUACAUCCCUGGAUACAAACAAACCCACCGCCUGUGCUCCAGCUUGAUGUUGCCUUGACAACUUAUUGUCUGGCUGGGGUGGUCAAACCGAAGACGACAGUGGCCAUGAAUUGUGGGUACGGUUGCUGAUUGGACAGGAACUCUCCAAUGACCUUGUUCAUGACGUCCUGUGGCGGGAAGAAGUCGUCCAGAAACUGCGGCAGAAUCCUG